rnacentral:rRNA from 1 species
AUUGAACGCUGGCGGCAUGCUUUACACAUGCAAGUCGAGCGGCAGCGCGGGGGCAACCCUGGCGGCGAGCGGCGAACGGGUGAGUAACGCAUCGGAACGUAUCCUGUAGUGGGGAAUAACUCAUCGAAAGGUGAGCUAAUACCGCAUAAGCUCUGAGGAGGAAAGCGGGGGACCGAAAGGCCUCGCGCUGCAGGAGCGGCCGAUGUCCGAUUAGCUAGUUGGUGAGGUAAAGGCUCACCAAGGCGACGAUCGGUAGCUGGUCUGAGAGGAUGAUCAGCCACACUGGGACUGAGACACGGCCCAGACUCCUACGGGAGGCAGCAGUGGGGAAUUUUGGACAAUGGGGGAAACCCUGAUCCAGCCAUGCCGCGUGAGUGAAGAAGGCCUCGGUGUAAGACUCUUUCGGUA